ACGCACGCUGGCGGCGUGCUUAACACCUGCAAGUCGCACGGAAAGGCCCUGCUUUUGUGGGGUGCUCGAGUGGCGAACGGGUGAGUAACACGUGAGUAACCUGCCCUUGACUUUGGGAUAACUUCAGGAAACUGGGGUUAAUACCGGAUAGGAGCUCCUGCUGCAUGGUGGGGGUUGGAAAGUUUCGGCGGUUGGGGAUGGACUCGCGGCUUAUCAGCUUGUUGGUGGGGUAGUGGCUUACCAAGGCUUUGACGGGUAGCCGGCCUGAGAGGGUGACCGGCCACAUUGGGACUGAGAUACGGCCCAGACUCCUACGGGAGGCAGCAGUGGGGAAUAUUGCACAAUGGGCGGAAGCCUGAUGCAGCAACGCCGCGUGCGGGAUGACGGCCUUCGGGUUGUAAACCGCUUUCGCCUGUGACGAAGCGUGAGUGACGGUAAUGGGUAAAGAAGCACCGGCUAACUACGUG
rnacentral:rRNA from 1 species